rnacentral:lncRNA from 1 species
UAAUUUAGUACUUGAAGAUUCCACAUAGGAAUCAUAUGAGGAGCUAAAGACUCGAUUCCCUGAGUUCAUGGAAUCUCAACCUUGAGGACAAGGCUGAUUUAGAGAGGACGGGCUGUAUAGGACCCUAGUAGGGUUGGGUCCUACUCAACCAAGAAGUAGCUAAUAAAAUCCUAUGAGAUUGUAAUAAACCCCACCUAGCCGCCUCUAUCCUAUAAAGAAGAGUGGCUAGGGUUUAUAUU